rnacentral:rRNA from 1 species
CGGCGGACGGGUGAGUAACACGUGGAUAACCUACCUAUAAGACUGGGAUAACUUCGGGAAACCGGAGCUAAUACCGGAUAAUAUAUUGAACCGCAUGGUUCAAUAGUUAAAGACGGUUUUGCUGUCACUUAUAGAUGGAUCCGCGCUGCAUUAGCUAGUUGGUAAGGUAACGGCUUACCAAGGCAACGAUGCGUAGCCGACCUGAGAGGGUGAUCGGCCACACUGGAACUGAGACACGGUCCAGACUCCUACGGGAGGCAGCAGCC